rnacentral:lncRNA from 1 species
AAUGCAGGUCGGGUGAAGAAGAGCAGGAUGUUUCAUUUUUGUCAAGCGUCACCUGAUUCAAAAUGUAGCCACUGAAAAGAAGCAAUCGUUUUUGACCUGCGUCUCUGAGGAUAAGACAGUGCAUGGGUGAUGGAUGCAGCCCAGAUCAGCUAUGAAAAUACCCAGCCGGCCUGCAGCCCUCCCGGCAGAUGCUGAAAAGGAAACCCGACUGGGGGAUGCCUGGUCCCCCAGAGAGCUGCGUUGUUUCCUCCCACCGAGGCCUUUGGAUCCGGCCACAGCAAGCAUCCCUGGGCACCUGGCUGAAGCUGGAAACUCGGGAUAAGAAUAGAAGCCCUGGAAGGGAAGAAGAACCGAGGAGAGAACAGCACAUUGCACUCUCACCUCCUUUGCAGUUAAGUGUGAAAUAGUGCCAAUAGAGUGUGAAAGAAAAGAAAGAAGAUGGUUCACCUCCCAAAGAAGGGGAUUCCCCACUGCUGUGUCCCUUCUAUCAACUUGAUACAAAAAAACACAAUGGCCCCGGGAACCACGUGUUGAAGAUGAGAGAGCUAAAAGACGGAAAGAGACUGGAGCCUUGAGUCACCACCUGGAGGAAAACUACCCACCCAUCAGGAAUUUCUACUACACAUUUGGGAG